UUUCUAAAAAUAUGUUUUAUUGGAUUUUUCCUUCUGAGCCCCAGAAGCGAUAUCUAUGUCCCUCCCAACAAGCCCAUCAGCAGGGAGAAACGUGCUGCCCGGUGAGUGAGUGUUGAGUGACUGGAUGAUCCCGGGAGGCCCGGAAU
rnacentral:lncRNA from 1 species